rnacentral:rRNA from 1 species
GACGAACGCUGGCGGCGUGCUUAACACAUGCAAGUCGAACGAAGAGCGAUGGAAGCUUGCUUCUAUCAAUCUUAGUGGCGAACGGGUGAGUAACGCGUAAUCAACCUGCCCUUCAGAGGGGGACAACAGUUGGAAGCGACUGCUAAUACCGCAUACGAUCUAACCUCGGCAUCGAGGAAAGAUGAAAGGUGGCCUCUAUGUAUAAGCUAUCACUGAAGGAGGGGAUUGCGUCUGAUUAGCUAGUUGGAGGGGUAACGGCCCACCAAGGCGAUGAUCAGUAGCCGGUCUGAGAGGAUGAACGGCCACAUUGGGACUGAGACACGGCCCAGACUCCUACGGGAGGCAGCAGUGGGGAAUCUUCCGCAAUGGACGAAAGUCCGACGGAGCAACGCCGCGUGAGUGAUGACGGCCUUCGGGUUGUAAAGCUCUGUUAAUCGGGACGAAAGGCCUUCUUGCGAAUAGUGAGAAGGAUUGACGGUACCGGAAUAGAAAGCCACGGCUAACUACGUG